UGUGGUUCUGCCGAUACUCUC
rnacentral:siRNA from 1 species